CAGUGUUCAUUAGUGUUAAUUAGUGUAACUUCGGGAGUUGUUUGAACAAACAUGUACACCCACGGUGUAAUUAAAACUCACAACCUAGUGUUUUAAGUGGGUGUGAAUGUACGAACUCUGGGGUGGAGUCAUUUACACUUCCGGUCCUUCAGUUGAGAUUUUUGAAAAGAAGAUGGACGCCAUUGAAGUACAUCGUGGGAUAGUAAAAGGGUCAGCAAAAUGCUCAUCAGUGUCCAGUACCAUGGAGAAAAAAGUACCUCAAACUGCAGCCUGGUUUUUCCUUUCAAAGUUUAAUUCGAGAAGGCACAUCAAUCCACUGGUGCAAAAGAAGAGAACACCUCUGCCAUAGGAGAUUCAGCAGAAAAAGGCCAAACAGAUGGUCCAGGAGGUUCUGGAGAAGAGUUAAAUGGGAGAGGAAAUAAUGGAGGAGUAUAGUAGAGCACCUUGACACACUGUACAAGAAGGCAUCUUCUGAAUAUCCUGGUCCAUGGGAUACCAGUACGAAGUCAAGGAAAAAGAUAUGCACUCGGCAUUGUGACUGUUUCCUAAUCUCAGGGAUCCUUACUCCACCAAUGGCUAUGAACACUUCUACGAUGCUGGAAGAGGGGCCGG